AGGAGGGAGAGUCUGGGGCCAGGAGAGGGACGGCGGAGGAUCAGGGAAAGACCGAACCGAAGGAGAAAGGCGCCGGACCUGGAGAAGAAGCAGUGACCUAUUUACUUCUCCUUGAAAGAAGUUCUCCAAGGGUGCUGUGGCCACUGCAGCAUGGAGGAGCCUGUUGCCCACCUCAGCCUGGGGGGGUCAGAAGUACGUACAGUAAGAAGUACCUGAAGUGUGACAAAUAAAAACAAGGGAAGGCGAGUGAGAGAUGAACACUGGAGGAUGAAACCUCUGCUCCAGCAGAUCCACUGUAAAGCAAAAGGUCAUGUCCAUGCUCCUUUCCAUGACUAAAUCCCUCUACAUCAUACUCAUCCAUCAAGGUUCAGCUUGAAAACCUAAUCCAAAGUAUCCUGUGGGCCAGUGAGAGCUAUGCUGGGAAGCAAUCACAUUUUCAUGGCAAGACAGACCUCCCAGCUGCUAAGCUCCUUUAGGGUAAGAGAGGAUCAGCCCUUGCUAAGAUGGAGAGACCUUUCUGCAGACAUCUAUCCCUUGGUGCACAUGGACCAUUUCCCAUCUCAGCUGGAAUGCAGUCUAAGCCACAGUGUAUGUAAGAACUGGAACCGAUGGAGACUAAAUGAUGAAUUGCAACAGAUGGACCAAGUGAAGGAUAUGAGUCAUCACGAUUGUUCACACAUGUACAAUCAUCCACUUGGAACUCAAGCCAUGAAAAGGCAGCUUCUAUGAUCAGCUCCAAGAUUGCCAUGGGUAGCUCUUACAAGCAAAGUAAUACUCAGUGGUCUUCCAACAUACCUUGAAGGAAUGGUAAUAUGAAAACAAUGGCAUCAUAGUUUAGUAAAACUGCCCUUAGUGGAUCCUUUGGACAAUGCUUCUGAAAUCUACAUUACAUUAGGAUCCAUUCUAUGGAAAUGUGAUUUAUGAGUAUGCAGGCCUCUCACUGCUGUGGCCUCUCCUGUUGCGGAGCACAGCCUCCGGACGCACAGGCUCAGUGGCCAUGGCUCACGGGCCCAGCCGCUCCACGGCAUGUGAGAUCUUCCCAGACCGGGGCACGAACCAGUGUCCCCUGCAUCGUUAGGCGGACCCUCAACCACUGCGCCAUCAGGGAAGCCCCUGUGCAUCAUUGUUUUAAACCAGUUAUUCCUUAAUGCAUCCAGAGAAGGCAAACAUUCCCAGCACAUGUUUCUGCAGUCCCAAACAUUUGUUGGGUUUGUUUUCCAUUUUUAGUGAAGGUAUUCAGGAUUAGGUUAGGUAGCAACUUGAUCCACUGAACACUCAUCUGGAAACUUGUCUUGGAAUUCUUUUCUUGAUGAAGAUUAAAUAUUUUGGAACAAAGUUGAAACAGAGGUUAGAACCGGGACCACGUUAAGACUUGUCCAGAAGGUAUGUGGUAUGUGUUGUACUUCAUUCCCUGUCAAAAUGUGAUAGACUUUAGUACAGCUUGUAAAUGAAGUUCAUGAAAAAUGCAAAUGUAGUGUCUCCUUUCAAUAUUCCUUAGGAAUGCAGCACUUACCCAGUUAGCAUGGGCCUCUGUUGCUGGCUCUAUUCUAGCCCUGCUAGGUCACUAAAAGCAAUUUGAUCACAGCCAAGCAUGGCCCUGGUAUUCUUUCAGCUGCUGAGUUGGCACAUUCUUGGUUGAGGCAAGAUUGCCUGAAUUUCAAAUAAUGAAUUUAAAGGGAAUGAGAUGAACUAUCCUUGCUCUGCUAGGCUGACUACCAAGAAUGCUCUCACCUCCUGGUAUUUACACCUUCGUGUAAUCCCCUCCUCUUUUGUACAGAGUGGACCUAGGGACCUGAUUCUAAGGAAUAGGACAUGGCAAAAGUGAUGGGAUAUCACUUCCAAGAUUAGGUUUUAAGUCUAUGACUCCCCUCUGGCUAGCACUAUGUUUUGCUACCAGGUUCUUUCACUCUAUGGCUCUUCUUGCUGUCUUGCACUGGGGAAGCAAGCUGACAUAUUUUUGAGUUGCCCUAAGGAGAGGCCCAUAUGGUGAAGAAUAGGGGUAACCAACAGCCAGUGAGUCAUUGAGGCCCUCAGUCCAAAAGCCUGCAAGGAACAGACUCCUGUCAAUGACCACGCAUGUGAGUGAGCUUGGAGAUUGAUCUUUCCUCUGUUACACACUGACAUGACUGCAGCCUGUGACAGUCCCUGAGCUGGAGGACCAGCUAAGCGACGUCCAGAUUCUGGACCUAUAGAAACCGAGAUAAUAAAUGUUGUUGUUUCAAGCCACCAAGUUUUGGGGUAAUCUGUUACACAGUGAUGGAUAACUGUUACACCUGCUUAUAGAAGUGGUAAGGCCUGGGAUUGGGGGCACAAAGGUUGGAAAGAGAAUUAGGUAUGUAUAUUUGUGUCACUGACCUAGAUAGAGUCUUUAUGACCGAUGUCCUACCUCUACUUUUAUUUAUUUAUUAUUAUUAUUAUUUUUUUUACGGUACGCGGGCCUGUCACUGCUGUGGCCUCUCCUGUUGCGGAGCACAGGCUCUGGACGCGCAGGCUCAGCGGCCAUGGCUCACGGGCCCAGCCGCUCCGUGGCAUGUGGGAUCCUCCCGGACCGGGGCACGAACCCAUGUCCCCUGCAUCGGCAGGUGGACUCUCAACCACUGCGCCACCAGGGAAGCCCUAUAGAGCAGAAAGUUGAAUUUUAGAGAGAUGAAGUGGCCUGCCUCAAAUCAUCAUACAGGCAGGAGACAGGAUUCAAAACAAAGUUUAUCUGGCUCCAGUCCCGUGUUUCCUGUACGGAAGAACGAGGCUAAACCGGCAGAGAUGGAGGGUGAAACAAAAUAGACCCAAGACAAUUUAAAAUAUGACUCCUGUUAUAAUUGGUUAUUUCAUUUUAUUGCUUAUUAUAAACACUUUGGACAUAGCAAAUACAUUAGUUUUUAAAUAACCAUAAUUCAAAGCUUUCAUAUCAUAUACUAUUUCCCCCCAAGAUGUGUGAUCUAUGAAAAUAAUCAGUGAACUCCAAAAGGCUAUACUGAUAUUGUGCACAUUUACGCGAUCGUGACACUAAAUACAAAUAGUAAAAAUACUCAUCUGUUGUACGUGUGUGGUUUUGUGAUAUGCUUUAAGGGAGGCCAUAAAAAAACUCAAAGAAGAGAGAUGGUGUGGAUUGUAAUAGCGCCUAUGUGGGUCAUGUUUGCAGAACAUAGAAGGUAUGCACAGUAAACAUUUAUUGACAGAGAAGGUAUGCACAGUAAACAUUUAUUGACAGUGAAGAUGAUGAGAAUUCAAUUUCUGCUGGACUCUCCCUCUCCAUUUUUUCUUAAGUGCAUUGGGAAACAUCAUUCUGAAUGUCACAGAGGCUCUGGCACUUUGAGUUGUGUAGCUACAGUGUAAUUGGGUCUGAUCGCACUUGCAGAAGGGAGAUAAAUUAAAGCAUAUGCACUGUUAAAAUUGUGCUAAAAUCUCAGUUACUUGGAUGGACUAGAAUGCUUGAAUGCUUUCUGGCUUCAUAAGCAAGAAAAUCACCAGUGCCUAAAAAUCAAGCAAGUCAUUCCAAACAAAUCUAGCUUCUAGAUUUCACUGGCAGUUAGACUGUAUUUCAGUCAGAUCAAUGUAUUUGAAAGUAAAAUAUGCUACUUAUAUGAGCUACUGAGUUUCCCAACUACAACUACUGAGUUCCUGAACUGUAACUUUUACUUUAAGACAUUUCUUUUGGUUGAUUUGUCCAGCAAAAUCCUUAGCAUCAUUUUGGGAUUUCACUGAAUUGUGCUGAUGAUAUUGGAUUAAACAUUUUAGAUUUAAUUGAAAAGUGACAAACAAAUAUAAUCAUCUAUUCCCAAUAGUUUCUCAAUGUACAAUUUUAAAUACAUGAAAGGACCCUCAUAAAAAUAGAAAUGUUAAUUUAGGUCACUGGCAGCAAAGUAUGGCAUAUUAGAAUUGUUUAUUAAAAACUUUUACACCUAAAGUUUCAUAAAACUUCAUAAAAUAUGGAUUUUGGCAAAAGGCAUAAAAUUGGCAUAAAAUAUGGAUUUUGGCAAAAGGCAACAGUUUGAUGUCAAUAUCUUACUUUUCCAUUAACUGUAUAACUUUUUCAAGAGAAUAGAUUAUUAAUAUUACAAGAAAAACAGAAAUUUGUCUAAGCUGCAUGUGAGUGGAGUUACACAGAACAGAAUCCAAACUUCAUUUUUCCCUCUUCUUUUUGUAAACUUUUGUAUAUCUUCCUGGUCGGGUUCUGAAAUUAUACUCCCUGAUGUAAAAUCCCAUGGGAUUCUGUCUUCUCAUCUUUUAAUCUGAAAUGAAGUAUUUGUUGCUUGUGGAACUUGGUAAAUUUUUUUUCACAGUUGGAGUAACCUUUAUCAUAAUACACUAAAUAAAAUCAGAUGAUUUUUAGGUGGCAGUAUCUAGCAUUGACAAGUUCUUGGCUUCAAGCAGCUGUUAAGUCCUUUUGAUUGUUUUAAGUCUCAAAUUAGAUAGAUUCAACUAUCUCUGUUAUUUUCAUUCUUGAUGGCAUAGAAAUUCACCUCACAUCUACCUAAAACAUGAGCAGAGCUUUUGGGGCCCGUU